rnacentral:tRNA from 21 species
GGCCGUGUGCCCGAGUGGUUCAGGGACUCGCCUGCAAAGCGAGUUACGCGGGUUCGAUUCCCGCCACGGCCUCCA